rnacentral:tRNA from 1 species
GGUUGUAGUCUAAGGGAAGGAUACUUGUUUGUGAAGCGAGAGGUUUGGGUUCGAGUCCCAACAACCACCA